rnacentral:rRNA from 1 species
CGGGGGGAGCAAGCGUUGUUCGGAUUUACUGGGCGUAAAGGGCGCGUAGGCGGCCACCGCAAGUCGACUGUGAAAUCUCCGGGCUUAACCCGGAAAGGUCAGCCGAUACUGCGGGGCUAGAGUGCAGAAGGGGCAACUGGGAUUCUCGGUGUAGCGGUGAAAUGCGUAGAUAUCGAGAGGAACACCUGCGGCGAAGGCGGGUUGCUGGGCUGACACUGACGCUGAUGCGCGAAAGCUAGGGGAGCGAACGGGAUUAGAUACCCCGGUAGUCCUAGCCUUAAACGAUGAAUGCUUGGUGUCUGGGGUUUUAUAGUCCCCGGGUGCCGUCGCUAACGCUUUAAGCAUUCCGCCUGGGGAGUACGGUCGCAAGACUG